rnacentral:rRNA from 1 species
AUUGAACGCUGGCGGCAGGCCUAACACAUGCAAGUCGAGCGGAUGAAGGGAGCUUGCUCCUGGAUUCAGCGGCGGACGGGUGAGUAAUGCCUAGGAAUCUGCCUGGUAGUGGGGGAUAACGUCCGGAAACGGGCGCUAAUACCGCAUACGUCCUGAGGGAGAAAGUGGGGGAUCUUCGGACCUCACGCUAUCAGAUGAGCCUAGGUCGGAUUAGCUAGUUGGUGGGGUAAAGGCCUACCAAGGCGACGAUCCGUAACUGGUCUGAGAGGAUGAUCAGUCACACUGACACUGAGCCCGGGCCCAGCCUCCUGCGGGGGGCACCAGGGGGGAUUUUUGAACAAGGGGGGAAACCCUACCCCCCCCUGCCGGGGGGUGGGAAGAAGGUUUGCGGUUUGUAAAGCUUUUUAGUUGGGGGGAAAGGGAAUUAGUUUAAUCCCUUGUUUUUUGGGCUUUCCCAAAAAAAUAACCCCCGCCUACCUUCGUC